rnacentral:rRNA from 1 species
UACGUAGGAGGCAAGCGUUGUCCGGAAUUACUGGGCGUAAAGCGCGUGUAGGUGGUGGGACAAGUCUGCUGUGAAAGCGCCUGGCUUAACCGGGCGAGGUCGGCGGAAACUGUCCGACUAGAGGACGGUAGAGGGGGGUGGAAUUCCCGGUGUAGUGGUGAAAUGCGUAGAGAUCGGGAGGAACACCGGUGGCGAAGGCGGGUCUCUGGGCCGAUACUGACGCUGAGGAGCGAAAGCGUGGGGAGCGAACAGG